rnacentral:rRNA from 1 species
GACGAACGCUGGCGGCGUGCUUAACACAUGCAAGUCGAACGGGAUCUCUCUUUUCGGAGAGGGGUUUAGUGGCGAACGGGUGAGUAACACGUGGGUAAUCUGCCCUGCACUCUGGGAUAAGCCUGGGAAACUGGGUCUAAUACCGGAUAUGACCUGCUGCCGCAUGGUGGUGGGUGGAAAGCUUUUGCGGUGUGGGAUGGGCCCGCGGCCUAUCAGCUUGUUGGUGCGGUGAUGGCGUACCAAGGCGACGACGGGUAGCCGGCCUGAGAGGGCGACCGGCCACACUGGGACUGAGACACGGCCCAGACUCCUACGGGAGGCAGCAGUGGGGAAUAC